GUUCCAGUUGAAGUGAGGGUAGUUCCGAUUGGACCCUCUAGAUGAAGGACGUCUUAAUCUCAAUGACUCCUGGCCAUUGGAGUAAAUGUCAUCUACCACUGCAAGAGAAUGAAGGCUUUUAAGACAUAUUUUAAACAGUUUCAGGUACCUGUAGCUGACGGUGGGUCCCCCGCCCGGUUUACACUGAGCCCGUUCUGGAUAGCAGCCGAGACCAGCGCUAAUGCAUCCGGCCUCAGCGCCGCACCACGCGGCAUAGAAACGCAUCCUGAACAUGAAGAACACCACUACCAUGUAGAAAAACCUGAUGUGAGGGCGAAAGAGAAUAAAAUUGCCAUGACCCAAUGGUUACCACCGUGGGGGACCUAGGUUCAAGACCCUGACUGGACCAUCUGCCAACAUCCCCCGGACUCAUGGCUGUGGUGUCCUUGAGCAAGACACUGAUACCCCGAAAUGCUCCCCCGGCGCUUCAGCUGCCCCAUGCUCCAGUGUGUUCCACUAACAUGUGUAUGUGUUCACUGUGAUGGGUUAAAUGCAGGUGUGUGCAUGCAUGCAUGUUCAUGAUAAUAAAAGGUGAUUCUUCUUCUUCUUAAAUUAA